UAUUGUAAAAACAACCUGAGGAUUGAUUAUAAAAAACGUUUGACAUGUUUCUACGAACUUUACGGAUGCUAUUUUGAAUUUUUGUCUGCCCCGUCGUGACUGCUCGAGCCUGUGGAUUUCUGAACAUAACGUUUUAGGGUAUCUAAAAAGGCAGGAGGCAUGCUGGAGAAGAUCCAGACCAUGCUUGCUCAGCAGCAGGGUGAUGAGAGGAGAUUCCAGGUGUGUUAGGAUGAGAGCUUGUUAGGAUGUAAGAGAAAUCGAUUAUUAAAAUCGAUUAUUAAGACAGAUUCUCAGUGUGAGAAUCAAUGUAUUCGUUGCCCAAUAGAACGAUUUGAGGAUAGGGAGGGAAAUGCAGUGGAGAAGUCUUUACAUUAUUUUUUAUGGGAGACAGACAAACGGCCAGACAUUUCAUUGUGUGUGUGUGUGUUAUUUCUGUUAAAGGGAUAACACUGAAGGGGAAUCUGAAAGGCUUCACAGACCUCACCAAUCCCUAGCUGAAGCAGCACAUGGAGGCGGCCAUCAACAUCGGCGUGGAUGAUCUCAAAGCCAGGUUUGGUGGUUUGCUGAAGGAUGAGGGUGUCCAGACUCCAGUGGAGUAUUUCAGAGUGCUAAACCCUGACACAUGGCCAAAUGACCAGGCCAGCCUUCUCCCCUUUGGCGCCGAUGGUGUGGCAGACCUGAUGAGACAUUUCAAGGAGCCUCUAGAAAGCAGAUUGGGGUGCAAUAUAGCUGCAAUCCAGGAUGAGUGGCAGGGGCUGAAAAUCCUGGUCAGCCACAAUUUCAAGGACAAGUCUUAGUGGCCUGUGGGAGACCGUGUUGACAAAGGACCCCUACAGGCACGAUUACAAGAACAUACUGGAGUUGGUACAGCUUAUGCUGGUGCUGCCCAUUUCAGCCGCCCAGUGUGAGCGAGGCUUCUCUGCGCACAACCGGAUUAAGAAUUCGACAAGAAGCUGCCUUGGGGUCUCCACCACCGAAGGCCUGAUGAGGAUCAGCCUGGAGGGGCCUUCUGUUGAGUUCGAUCCCACUCCUGCCGUGGACCGCUGGCUGUGCUCUAAGCGUGCAAGAAGGCCAACAUACAAAAGCAGUUGGACAACUGCUAUCCUUUGCGUCUAGUAGGCUUGGGUCAAUGUGUGAUUUUGGUGGUAUGUGCUGUUGCACAGAUGUGUGUCCCUUAAUACACGCACACACAUGCAGUAUAAAUAUGUAUGUAAUAAAUUGUUUAUUAAUAAACUCUGUCACUAGAACAGUU